CCUACGGGUGGCUGCAGUAGGGAAUCUUCCGCAAUGGACGCAAGUCUGACGCAGCAACGCCGCGUGAUUGAUUAAGCCCUUCGGGGUGUAAAGAUCUGUCAGUGGGGACGAAACUUGGCGGUACUCACUGAUGACGCACCGGCUAACUCCGGCCCAGCAGCCGCGGUAAAACGGAGGGUGCAAGCGUUGUUCGGAAUUAUUGGGCGUAAAGAGUUCGGAGGUGGCAUAUUAAGUCUGGUGUGAAAUGCAGAAGCUCAACUGCUGUUCGGCACUGGAUACUGGUAAGCUUGAAUGCGGUAGAGGUAAAGGGAAUUCCUGGUGUAGCGGUGAAAUGCGUAGAUAUCAGGAGGAACAUCGGUGGCGUAAGCGCUUUACUGGGCCGUAAUUGACACUGAGGAACGAAAGCCGGGGUAGCAAAUGGGAUUAGAUACCCCAGUAGUC
rnacentral:rRNA from 1 species